UACGGAGGGUGCAAACGUUGCUCGGAAUCAUUGGGCGUAAAGCGCACGUAGGCGGCCCAGCAAGUCGGGUGUGAAAGCCCUCGGCUUAACCGAGGAAGUGCAUUCGAAACUACUGAGCUUGAAUACUGGAGAGGAUCGCGGAAGUCCCGGUGUAGAGGUGAAAUUCGUAGAUAUCGGGAGGAACACCAGUGGCGAAGGCGGCGAUCUGGACAGAUAUUGACGCUGAGGUGCGAAAGCGUGGGGAGCAAACAGG
rnacentral:rRNA from 1 species